AUUUUUUGCCAAAGGGAGAUUUGAGUAAAGGAGAAUGCCGUGAGCGCAAGAUCCGUGCGUAAGGGCUGCUGUCUGUCGAGCUUUGGCAGUUCAGCUUUAACUUCCUGGAGCUGCUGAGAGGAGGCAGAGGCUGCCAACCUUUGUGACCGCCGGAGGGACAGUUCACACCCCCCUGACUGUUGUGCCACUGGCUGCUGUUUGGCUUCCUGCAAGAGAGUUUCUAGCUCUUCAAUUUUUUCAUCCCGCUCCUAAGAGGGAAGCAGAGAGCACAGUUCUGUCCAGGGUCAGACAAAUACCAAAGGACCAGACUAAAAGAACAUAAACACUUAUGCUCGACAUUAGCCCAUUAGCACACUUUCACGGUGAACUCAUCCCUAAACUCAAACUCAGUAGCUGCAAGGCACUAAGGGAAACUAAUAAAAACGAAUUCUAUAUUA